rnacentral:misc_RNA from 1 species
AUUUUUAUUUAUAGAGAACUUUUCUAAGUUGGUUUAAAAAGUUAGAAACUUUGAAGGGUGUGAAUUAGAAUUUUAUUGAAGUAAAUGGAAUCACAGUUUAUUGAAAGAUACCAUAGUCAUCAGCCUAGUGAACAUCAGUGUUCUUCAUCUCUUGUUAAACACAUCAAAGCACCAGUUGAUAUUGUUUGGUCACUAGUGAGGAGAUUUGAUCAGCCUCAGAAGUAUAAGCCAUUUAUUAGCAGGUGUACUGUGAAGGGUGAUCUUACAAUUGGUAGUGUUAGAGAGGUGAAUGUCAAGUCUGGUCUUCCAGCCACCACUAGCACUGAAAGAUUGGAACUUCUUGAUGAUGAGGAGCACAUCCUUGGCAUCAGAAUCGUUGGUGGCGAUCACAGGCUAAAGAACUAUUCUUCGGUUAUUACAGUCCAUCCGGAGACACUUGAUGGUAGACCGGGGACACUGGUGAUUGAGUCAUUUGUAGUGGAUGUGCCUGAAGGGAACACUAAAGAGGAGACUUGCUACUUUGUGAAGGCCUUAAUUAAUUGCAAUCUGAAAUCACUAGCUGAUGUAUCUGAGAGGAUGGCUAUGCAGGGAGGUGUUCUACCCGUCAGUGUGAACUGGUCUUCGAGUAACCAGAUCGAGAUAUGAAAUCUUUGGGGCUGUGUAUAGAUUUGCAAGAAGCUAGGUUUCAACCUCUUUGGAAUUUGCUUCUGCUUGUAAUCUGUCUAGACUUUAUGCAUUAACAGGGGGUGCACGGUGUAUCCUGUUAUCAUGCAAGUUUUAUUUAUGGAGGUUUUGUUUUUCCUUUACUAUCUUGCGGUUCUCAUGAUGUUGUUGAGGGUCUUUUCAUUUUCUGUAAAUACUUCUGUAGGGUAGUGCUGGUCAGCGACUUGUUUUGAGCUGGUAGAUGCAACUUUUAGCUUGCGAAAAAUUAUGGGCGGAAUAUUUGCAGCUUGUUUCCAGAGCUUUGUAUAUAUAAAAGUUGUAGAACUCUUGUCUGGAGUAGAGUAAAGAAGAGUGAUUUUCG